AGGACGAACGCUGGCGGCGUGCUUAACGACGAUGCAAGUCGAGCGGAAAGGCCCUUCGGGGUACUCGAGCGGCGAACGGGUGAGUAACACGUGAGUAAUCUGCCUUCAGCUCUGGGAUAGCUCCGGGAAACCGGGAUUAAUACCGGAUAUGACCACUUCGGACAUCUGUUGUGGUGGAAAGUUUUUCGGCUGGAGAUGAGCUCGCGGCCUAUCAGCUUGUUGGUGGGGUAAAGGCCUACCAAGGCGACGACGGGUAGCCGGCCUGAGAGGGCGACCGGCCACACUGGGACUGAGACACGGCCCAGACUCCUACGGGAGGCAGCAGUGGGGAAUAUUGCGCAAUGGGCGGAAGCCUGACGCAGCGACGCGCGUGGGGAUGAAGGCCUUCGGUUGUAAACCCUUCAGCAGGGACGAAGCGCAAGUGACGGUACCUGCAGAAGAAGCGCCGGCUAACUACGUGCCAGCAGCCGC
rnacentral:rRNA from 1 species